rnacentral:tRNA from 1 species
UGCUACUUAGCUAUGCAAGUCGAUACUUUGAAAGUAUUGGAAAAGGACUAAACCUUAGUGGCUG